rnacentral:rRNA from 1 species
GACGAACGCUGGCGGCGUGCUUAACACAUGCAAGUCGAACGGAAAGGCCUGCUUUCCCUUGUGGAUUGCGGGUGCUCGAGUGGCGAACGGGUGAGUAACACGUGUGUGAUCUGCCCCCAACUUGGGUAUAAGCCUGGGAAACUGGGUCUAAUUCCCGAUAGGACUGCAGGGUGGUGCCUGUGGUGGAAAACGAUUUUCUAGUGGUUGGGGAUGAGCUCGCGGCCUAUCAGCUUGUUGGUGGGGUAAUGGCCUACCAAGGCGGCGACGGGUAGCCGGCCUGAGAGGGUGGACGGCCACAUUGGGACUGAGAUACGGCCCAGACUCCUACGGGAGGCAGCAGUGGGGAAUAUUGCACAAUGGGCGGAAGCCUGAUGCAGCGACGCCGCGUGGGGGAUGACGGCCUUCGGGUUGUAAACUCCUUUCGACCGCGAGGAAGCCACCUGGUUGGAAGGGUGGUGACGGUAGUGGUAGAAGAAGCACCGGCUAACUACGUG